CUCUCAACCUCUAAAAGUUAGGAGAGAUAAUUAUUCAUGAACUAUUCUCUCAACCUCUAAACACUACUAUAACUACUAUAUCACCAAACAACAUAGAUAAGAGAUGUAUUAUUUUAACUAUGCUCAAAACACUAAACUCUACCUUAAAAGCUAUUACUGAACAGGGCCUUUGUAAAAAACAAAGUUAUCAUAAAAACUUCCUACAACAUAAUGGUU
rnacentral:misc_RNA from 1 species